rfam:Oryza nivara chromosome 1, whole genome shotgun sequence.
AAUAAGUGUAGUUUUGCACUAUUCACAUCAACGUUUAACUAUUCGUCUUAUUUAAAAUUUUUUUAUGAUUAGUAUUUUUAUUGUUAUUAUAUGAUAAAACAUGAAUAGUACUUUAUAUGUGACUAAAUAUUUUCAGCUUUUUUAUAAAUUUUUUAAAUAAGAUGGACAGUUAAACACUGGGCACGGAAAUCUACAGCUGCACUUCUU